GGGCCCUUAGCUCAGUUGGUAGAGCAACUGACUUUUAAUCAGUAGGUCGCUGGUUCGAACCCAGCAGGGCUCACCA
rnacentral:tRNA from 6 species